rnacentral:rRNA from 1 species
UGGUGGCGAUGGCGGAGGGGUUCCACGCGUACCCAUCCCGAACACGACCGUUAAGCCCUCCAGCGCCGAUGGUACUUGGACCGAAGGGUCCUGGGAGAGUAGGACGCCGCCAAGCA